AUCCACUUUUCUUUUAUGUAUUAUUGUGAUUUUUUACUCUCCUCUUUUAAACAAUCAUUGUUUCAAGCAUUUUUAAAACUAUCAGUACAUCAAACUUCUAUGAAUUAGGGAAGUAAUAUUAAACAAAUUCGAUCAUGAUGCUCCCUUCACAGAUCAUGUUUACCCUGAAUUCCAGCCCUAAGCUUUCUGUUCUCUUGCUGGACCACUGAGAUGGAACUUGUAAGCAGUGUGAAUUUGAGACCACACUUUCAUCUGUGACAGGAAGUCAGAUGUCACAGAAGAGGUCCUGCUAUACCGAGACAACACAUUGGGGAGGGAUCCAGAGAGAGAGCCUCAGCUCAGUGCCCAGCCAACAUCCAGCCUCCAGUGCAACCACGUGAGUGAUGGGCUGGGAUAUCAGCUGAGGACCACAGCCCUAGGUGAACAUCUGGACCAUAACUUCAUCACCUUACCAGACCCCUGACCCACAAAGCCAUGCAUGAGCAAAAUAAAAUAAAACACCUCUAAGUUUGGGAAUCA
rnacentral:lncRNA from 1 species